rnacentral:lncRNA from 1 species
CUGAGUGUUGAGCAAAAAGAGAAACCGAGGAAAGGGAGCGGUGUGUGAGUGUGUGUGUGUGUGUGUGCACGCGCGCGCACCCCUGGUGUUCAGUGGGCUGCUUUCUUAGAGGUCAUCCUAGAGCUGAGACUGAGGUGACCAGAGGUUGGCCUUUGGGUUUCAAGUGGUCAAGAGAGUGGCUGUACCUGCAGUGGAUGUGCCUUGUAUAAACCAAGUUCAGCCUUCUGCUGGAUCAUUUGGUGCUGAGCGAUGACAAGAGAGGAAACAAAAAGUUAAACCAGCAAGCCUUGCCCUAGCGAGAAGGUAAGUAAUUAGCGAGCUU